UACAGAGGUCCCAAGCGUUGUUCGGAUUCACUGGGCGUAAAGGGUGCGUAGGCGGUUUGACAAGUCUGAUGUGAAAAUCCCCGCAGCUUAACUGCGGAAACUGCAUUGGAAACUGUUUGACUAGAGGAAUGGAGGGGAGACUGGAAUACUUGGUGUAGCAGUGAAAUGCGUAGAUAUCAAGUGGAACACCAGUGGCGAAAGGCGAGUCUCUGGACAUUUCCUGACGCUGAGGCACGAAAGCCAGGGAGCAAAACGGG
rnacentral:rRNA from 1 species